rfam:Paenibacillus polymyxa SC2 plasmid pSC2, complete sequence.
GCGGGGGUGGCGGAAUCGGCAGACGCAUCGGACUUAAAAUCCGAGGUCAUUGUGACGUGAGGGUUCGAGUCCCUCUCUCCGCA